UCUAGAGAUUACUCCUACGGGAGGCAGCAGUGGGGAAUAUUGCACAAUGGGCGCAAGCCUGAUGCAGCCAUGCCGCGUGUGUGAAGAAGGCCUUCGGGUUGUAAAGCACUUUCAGCGGGGAGGAAGGCGUUAAGGUUAAUAACCUUGGCGAUUGACGUUACCCGCAGAAGAAGCACCGGCUAACUCCGUGCCAGCAGCCGCGGUAAUAAUCGUCGAC
rnacentral:rRNA from 1 species